rnacentral:lncRNA from 1 species
UUUCCUGUGUUACGGGGGGGGAAAAAGGUGUUUAUGUACAGCAAGAACUGAUGAACUCAGGGCUGAAGAGCAUUUUGUUCUCUGUGGCAGCUCUAUCCCUUUCCUUAGGGGAGAUCUAUGUUAGAAACAAAAAUGUCAUAGGGGAAGGUUGUGAAUUCUAAAUGAACUGUGGGGACCUCACGAACCUCUUCAGCUUAGUGGUUUCCAGGAAGCCCCAGGCUGAGCCAAACUUUGUGACUUAGCUGGUGUUCAAUGCAAAGACAGAAUCCAAUCCUCUGAUCUGUGAACUUCUGACGAUUCCCCGCCCUCAAUGUGCUGGUGGCUGGAGUGCAGUGGCACAAUCUCAGCUCACUGCAACCUCC